rnacentral:rRNA from 1 species
AGAACGAACGCUGGCGGCAGGCUUAACACAUGCAAGUCGAACGCCCCGCGAGGGGAGUGGCAGACGGGUGAGUAACGCGUGGGAAUCUACCCAGAACUUCGGAACAACUGAGGGAAACUUCAGCUAAUACCGGAUACGCCCUACGGGGGAAAGAUUUAUCGGUUCUGGAUGAGCCCGCGUUGGAUUAGCUAGUUGGUGGGGUAAUGGCCUACCAAGGCGACGAUCCAUAGCUGGUCUGAGAGGAUGAUCAGCCACACUGGGACUGAGACACGGCCCAGACUCCUACGGGAGGCAGCAGUGGGGAAUAUUGGACAAUGGGCGAAAGCCUGAUCCAGCCAUGCCGCGUGAGUGAUGAAGGCCUUAGGGUUGUAAAGCUCUUUCAGUAGGGAAGAUAAUGACGGUACCUACAGAAGAAGCCCCGGCUAACUUCGUGCCAGCAGCCGC